rnacentral:rRNA from 1 species
AGAGUUUGAUCAUGGCUCAGAACGAACGCUGGCGGCGUGGAUAAGACAUGCAAGUCGAACGAGACGUCCUUAGCUUGCUUUGGGCCUCUAGUGGCGGACGGGUGAGUAACACGUGAGUACCUGCCUGAAAGAUGGGGAUAGCCCGGGGAAACUCGGAUUAAUACCCGAUGUGGUCGCAAGACUAAAGGUGCCUUCGGGUGCCGCUUUCAGAUGGGCUCGCGGCCUAUCAGCUAGUUGGAGGGGUAACGGCCCACCAAGGCGACGACGGGUAGCUGGUCUGAGAGGAUGACCAGUCACACUGGAACUGAGACACGGUCCAGACACCUACGGGUGGCAGCAGUCGAGAAUCAUUCACAAUGGGCGAAAGCCUGAUGGUGCGACGCCGCGUGGAGGAUGACGGCCUUCGGGUUGUAAACUCCUGUCAUCAGGGAGUAAAGCUUAGGCGUUAAUAGCGCUUCAAGCCUGAUAGUACCUGAAGAGGAAGGGGCGGCAAACUCCGUGCCAGCAGCCGCGGUAACACGGAGGCCCCGAGCGUUGUUCGGAUUUACUGGGCGUAAAGCGUGCGUAGGCUGUUGGGUAAGUCAGAUGUGAAAGCCCGGGGCUCAACCCCGGAACUGCAUCCGAUACUGCCCGACUAGAGGGUUGGAGAGGAGACUGGAAUUCACGGUGUAGCAGUGAAAUGCGUGGAUAUCGUGAGGAAGACCAAAGGCGAAGGCAGGUCUCUGGACAACAUCUGACGCUGAUGCACGAAGGCCAGGGG